rnacentral:rRNA from 1 species
CCUACGGGUGGCAGCAGUGAGGAAUAUUGGUCAAUGGACGAGAGUCUGAACCAGCCAAGUAGCGUGAAGGAUGACUGCCCUAUGGGUUGUAAACUUCUUUUAUAUGGGAAUAAAAUGUUCCACGUGUGGGAUUUUGUAUGUACCAUAUGAAUAAGGAUCGGCUAACUCCGUGCCAGCAGCCGCGGUAAUACGGAGGAUCCGAGCGUUAUCCGGAUUUAUUGGGGUGAAAGGGAGCGUAGGUGGAUUGUUAAGUCCGUUGUGAAAGUUUGCGGCUCAACCGUAAAAUUGCAGUUGAAACUGGCAGUCUUGCGUACAGUAGAGGUGGGCGGCUUUCGUGGUGUCGCGGUGACCUGCUUAGAUAUCAC